AACGCCGUCGUCAUCGUCGCUGUCGUCUUCGUCCUCGUCCUUGUUAUCGCGCUCGUGCUCUCGAGACGUAUCUUACGGAGUACUAAUCUCUCAGUGAAUUUUCAAAGUGCCUAUCCUCAUCCCACAAGUGACAGGGUUAAUCUAGGUGAUCACGUGUUCGAACAUGCGAUCGCGACCACGUGCCAUGAGAUUCUUAUGAGAUUUGAAAUGGCAAAGUUAACGUUUGCCGUUUUAUUAUCAGCGAGGUUCUAUCAGUUGCAGUCAUAAUAAAGAGGCGAUGGACGCGUGACGCCGCGGUCUGACCGCAAGCUCGUUACGUCUGUCGGAAGUAUAAAUCAACCGUAAAGUUAUUCCGCCGUACUGUCGGGAACUCCCCGUAGGGCGCCUCGUUGGAAACUGCUACCACCUUCUUGUCCGCGAUAUCGUUCGCGCAGAAGAUAGCGACCGAGAAAUGGAGAAAAGCCGAAAAAGCGAUAAUCAGCAGGCAAAACUGCAAGAGGAUAUUCUUAACUUCGAGAACGAAUUUAUUCUUGCGCAACUUCUGUUCCACGAUCGAGUUUAACAAAGUAUCUCGCGUUUCGCUCGUAUAAUAAAUAAAUAUUCCAACUCACUGGGAGCUCUUAUCUUUCAACAAAAACCCCCAAGAUCCUUCGAUAACCGCGACGCGAACUCACUAAUCUGCGAUCAAAUUAAUUGGAACGAGCAUUUCUGCACAUUGAUAAAAAAUGUCUGCCAAAACAUGUCAGCUUCAGAACAUUAAUCA